GUUUUAGUAGUUUAAUAAAAACACUGGUCUUGUAAAUCAGCAUUAAGAAACAACCCACUUCUAAAACU
rnacentral:tRNA from 1 species